ensembl:lncRNA
CAGAAUGCUAAAAGAAGACUGGGGGUGUUUGUGUGCAUGCAGGGCAGCAGGAGAGUGUAUGAGCUGGAGGUCAGGAAUCAGGCCGCAGCUUUGGAGAGGCAGUUGAGAAGAGGAGCUUACAGAGACUCUCUGGAGGGCAGUGAGUACAUGCAGUAUCUAAGGCAGAGCCAGCAUGAGAUCCUGAGAGAGGAGGAGAGGAGGUACCGCUUCCUCGCUGAAAAACACUGCGGGUUGACGCAAACACUGCUGUUCCUCAUCAACAAGGUAAACCAGGGUUGUGAAUCUCCCACCUCACAAUUUGAACUGCUUAAUGUUCUUCAGGAAACAAUCCAGUGCAUCAAAUUUUACAUUUGUUCAGUUGAAACUACACAUGCGUCGGUUGGGGGAGCUCAGCUUCAAUCACUGGCGAUGCCACAGCUAUCUGCGUCUGGAAGGCCAGGAGAUCGGCAGUCCUCUCUCUCUCUGAGUGGGUGGGAUGGUCCACUCUCUCGCUAC